UACAUAGGUGGCAAGCGUUGUCCGGAUUUACUGGGCGUAAAGAGCGCGCAGGCGGUCGAUUUAGUCGCGUGUGAAAGCCCCCGGCUCAACUGGGGAGGGUCACGCGAUACUGAUCGACUCGAAGGCAGGAGAGGGUAGUGGAAUUCCCGGUGUAGUGGUGAAAUGCGUAGAUAUCGGGAGGAACACCAGUGGCGAAGGCGACUACCUGGCCUGUUCUUGACGCUGAGGCGCGAAAGCUAGGGGAGCAAACGGG
rnacentral:rRNA from 1 species